rnacentral:tRNA from 1 species
GGAGACGUAGCUCAACGGAAUCAGAGCAGCUGAAUACGAAUCAGCAGGCUGCGGGUUCGAAUCCUGCCGUCUCUUCCA